rnacentral:rRNA from 1 species
AUUGAACGCUGGCGGCAGGCCUAACACAUGCAAGUCGAGCGGCAGCGGGAAGUAGCUUGCUACUUUGCCGGCGAGCGGCGGACGGGUGAGUAAUGUCUGGGAAACUGCCCGAUGGAGGGGGAUAACUACUGGAAACGGUAGCUAAUACCGCAUAACGUCGCAAGACCAAAGAGGGGGACCUUCGGGCCUCUUGCCAUCGGAUGUGCCCAGAUGGGGUUAGCUAGUAGGUGGGGUAACGGCUCACCUAGGCGACGAUCCCUAGCUGGUCUGAGAGGAUGACCAGCCACACUGGAACUGAGACACGGUCCAGACUCCUACGGGAGGCAGCAGUGGGGAAUAUUGCACAAUGGGCGCAAGCCUGAUGCAGCCAUGCCGCGUGUAUGAAGAAGGCCUUCGGGUUGUAAAGUACUUUCAGCGGGGAGGAAGGCGAUGGAGUUAAUAGCUUCAUCGAUUGACGUUACCCGCAGAAGAAGCACCGGCUAACUCCGUGCCAGCCGCCGCGGUAA